UCCACUGACACUAUUCCUCCCACAGAUCCCAUCUCUGCUGUGGCUUGUCAGAAGAGCUGAUUAGACAUCCAGGUAUUUUGUUGGAAUUCAUAUGAAGUCAACAUUCUCAUAAACCAUGGGUGAAAAGAGAAAGUCUGACACCACCAUAAACCAUAAUGAUUUUCAAUGAUAAACUCCAACCAGGAACUCCAGAAAAAUAGGGAUCUGGGUCUCAAGCUGAAUUCAGAGCUACAGCAACCAGAAAGUCCUGACAUUCAUUAUUAGAGGAGAGGCUUAUACAAGAAAAGACAUGCAUGGAACAUGCUGCCUAACAUUUUGAGAGGUGAAAGAAGGCCCUAGCCCAAACUUGGCACUGCACAGAGAAAAUGUUCAAAGAAUACCAG